rnacentral:rRNA from 1 species
UGGGGAAUAUUGGACAAUGGGCGAAAGCCUGAUCCAGCCAUGCCGCGUGUGUGAAGAAGGUCUUCGGAUUGUAAAGCACUUUAAGUUGGGAGGAAGGGUUGUAGAUUAAUACUCUGCAAUUUUGACGUUACCGACAGAAUAAGCACCGGCUAACUCUGUGCCAGCAGCCGCGGUAAUACAGAGGGUGCAAGCGUUAAUCGGAAUUACUGGGCGUAAAGCGCGCGUAGGUGGUUUGUUAAGUUGGAUGUGAAAUCCCCGGGCUCAACCUGGGAACUGCAUUCAAAACUGACAAGCUAGAGUAUGGUAGAGGGUGGUGGAAUUUCCUGUGUAGCGGUGAAAUGCGUAGAUAUAGGAAGGAACACCAGUGGCGAAGGCGACCACCUGGACUGAUACUGACACUGAGGUGCGAAAGCGUGGGGAGCAAACAGGAUUAGAUACCCACGUAGUCCCUGAGCGGGCUGGCAAGGCGCAU